ensembl:lncRNA
GCAGGUUGUUUGUUGAUGUUGGGAGCUUGGGUAAAUAGCUAAAGGCACUGUAACUCAUGCAGCAAUGCGAUCUCACUUGGAUGUCUGUCUGUUUCCUAGAAGGAUCUAUGUGAAAUGCAGAUUAUGUUUACAUGCUUCAUGUAGUUCUGGUCAGUAGGGGGUAGACAGUCACAGAGGGGAGCGGUGCUUUCCCAAGCAAGGUCUGACCCCCUUUCAACUCCUCACUGGGCUCCACUGAGCCCUUUGGGCAGCUCAGUUUGCUGCAGAGUCAGGCAAGCAAUGGGCUUAUGUGCAAGCCUCGCCGUGGCAGAUUUUAGACCCAUCUGUGGGGAAAAGAUAUGUCUGGUUUAUCACCCCUCAUUUAUAGUGCAUAUUCUAUUUGUAAAUUCCACAAACUACAUUUUCUCCUGUUACCGUCCCUCUUUCUUCUCCUGUUCUCUCUCUUUUGCCCCCGCACAUGCACACAAAACAGCAAAAAAAGAAAGAAAAAGAAAACAAAAAGACUGCUGCAGUGAGAAUCAAAUACAGCAGUAAACACUGGCAGUCACAGUGGGCAAUAAAAUGCCGACCACAGCCAGUACACAAACAAAGAGACUGCUCUUCUGUCAAGCAAUGGCUAUGGAGCAGCUGGAGGAAGAUCACAUGGUAUAAAAAAAAAAAACAACAAAACAAAACAAAAAAAAGCCAGGAGACAAUCAUGCUGUUACAACCUAUCACAAAACCAUAUUCUGUUCAACCUUCUCUCGCUCUCACACACAAAUUGCUCACCACUUCAGGAAGAAUGAGCAUAAAGUAGAGGAAAUAUAGGAAAUAUGUUCAUGAAAUGAAUGUGGCACAGCUUCAGCAGCAUGAUUGUGGCUGUUGCCACUGUAAUUGCAUGUGGUUUUCUAUAUUCUAAAUAUAAAAAUGAACAAAGUAUCUGCAACCAUCGUCCCAUUUCCUCCUCUGUUCCUACACUAUUAAACCUCAAACAUUCCAGCAUAGUUUUCAGGACAUCGGAAAGAAAGUCACGAGCAG